GGGCCUGCGUUUCAUUAGCUAGUUGGUAGGGUAAUGGCCUACCAAGGCAAAGACGGGUAGCUGGUCUGAGAGGAUGAUCAGCCACACUGGAACUGAGACACGGUCCAGACUCCUACGGGAGGCAGCAGUGGGGAAUCUUGCGCAAUGGGCGAAAGCCUGACGCAGCGACGCCGCGUGGGUGAUGAAGGCCUUCGGGUCGUAAACCUCUGUCGGGAGGGACGAAAGGUCGGCGGUCGAAUAGGCCGAAGGCUUGACGGUACCUCUAGAGGAAGCGCCGGCUAACUCCGUGCCAGCAGCCGCGGUAAUA
rnacentral:rRNA from 1 species